GAUGAACGCUGGCGGCAUGCCUAAUACAUGCAAGUCGAACGAGAGGAAGGAAAGCUUGCUUUUCUGAAUCUAGUGGCGAACGGGUGAGUAACACGUAGGUAACCUGCCCAUGUGCCCGGGAUAACUUCUGGAAACGGAUGCUAAAACCGGAUAGGUAGCAGACAAGCAUUUGACUGCUAUUAAAGUGGCUAAGGCCAUGAACAUGGAUGGACCUGCGGUGCAUAAGCUAGUUGGUGAGGUAACGGCCAACCAAGGCGACGAUGCAGAGCCGGCCUGAGAGGGCGGACGGCCACAUUGGGACUGAGACACGGCCCAAACUCCUACGGGAGGCAGCAGUAGGGAAUUUUCGUCAAUGGGGGGAACCCUGAACGAGCAAUGCCGCGUGAGUGAGGAAGGUCUUCGGAUCGUAAAGCUCUGUUGUAGGAGAAAAACGACAUUCAUAGGGAAUGAUGAGUGAGUGAUGGUAUCUUACCAGAAAGUCACGGCUAACUACGUGCCAGCCGCCGCGGUAA
rnacentral:rRNA from 1 species